rnacentral:lncRNA from 1 species
CACAGGUCUGCGCCUCCGGCCUGCGGGAUCGAAGGGAAAGGAAUCCGAUCCGGGGAGGCAAGCCUGGGAGACGUCCUUUAUUCAGGAAUAAUGGACAAAUAAAAAUUCCAUAUAUUCAGCUGGGUGCAGUGGCUAACACCUGUAAUCCCAGUACUUUGGGAGGCUGAGGUGUGCAGAUCGCUUGAGGUCAGGAGUUUGAGACCAGCCUGGCCAUCACGCUGAAUGAACUGGGAUUUCUUGGAGAAGUGGUAGAGCCAAGCUCUGGAACCGGAAAUACGCAAGGGAUCUCCAGCUCCAUGAAUGGUAUCUCCAUCUCUUCAGGUGACUGAGUUGGAAAUCUUGGCUUCACUCCACCAAUGACCUGAGUCAUUCUUAGAAAGUCUGAAGAAGGAGCAUGCAGCUCUGAGGGUGGCAGCAGGUCCAGGAAUUGGAAUGUGACCACAGGGGAAUUCUUCAUAAAGGGCUGAACUUUACUGGAUGAGUUUCCCCUGGAAUACCAGGAAGUCAUAUGAAAUCACAGUUUAGGAAGUGCAUUCAACAGUAUAUGGCAGACAUCAUUUCGUGUUAAUAAAUAUAUCCAGCCCUGAACCCCAACACUCCCAAUUCUCCUUAUCUGCCCUGUUUAUUCCCUAGGACUUACCACUUUCUAGCACUCUAUGUAAUUGAUUUAUUUGUAUGUUUAUUGUCUGUCUACUAGAAUGGGGGCUCCAUGAGGGCAGAGGUUUUUGUCUGUUUCUUCACUGAUGUAUCCCCAGUGCCUAGAAUAAUGUGUGAUACAUGGUGGGGGUUCAAGUAAUACUUGCUGAAUGAAUGGAUCCACAUCCUCACUUUCAAUGGCUGCAUGGCUUACACACAGGCGCAUAUAUAAGCAUGUAUACACACAUACACACACAUGCACAUGUCUUGAAGACAGAAGUCUAUUCCUAUCCCACCACAGUCCAGAUCUUCAUCAAAGAAGAAAGCAGUUCCCUAAACACUACGCACUCUUCCAUCAUACACCAUGCAGGUUAAAGGGAGUGAGAUACCAGGCCCUGUCCACAACACAUAAGCCCCAUACCUCACCCCACAGAACUGUUGUGUUCAGCUCCCUCUAAAGCUGCAGAACUAGCGGCUCAGACCACAAACUCUGGGGCUAGGAUGACUGGGUUGGCCACUGACUAGCUGUGUGAUCUUGGGAAAAUUACUUAUCCUCUAGGAACCUCAGUUUUGUCAUCUGUCAAAUAUAAGAAAUACCUACUUCAUAUAAUUGUGACAGUUUAAAAAGCUAUUAGGUUCCAGAUGAGAUGGAGUAAGCACCCUCCACCCUGUCUCUUCCACUGAAUGCUGCUGUGAAACAUGGACAGACAUGCACAGGGCAGCUCUCUGAGAAGUGUGAAACUAAAAACAGCGGGGAAACGAGGGAAGAAAGCCAGAAGUCAGCGUUCCACUGAGCUGAAGCAAGUUUCUCAUUUUCUCUCUGAUAUUCCCCAGCCUGGAUACAAGACAGCCCCAAAUCCAGAAUGGGCACUGGGGCGACGAGAAAGAUCAACAGGGCCGGGCGCAGUGGCUCAUGCCUGUAAUCCCAACACUUUGGGAGGCUGAGGCAGGUGGAUCACCUGAGGUCAGAAGUUCAAGACCAGCCUGGCCAACAUGGCGAAACCCUAUCUCUACUAAAAAUACAAAAAUUA